rnacentral:rRNA from 1 species
UACGGAGGAUCCGAGCGUUGUCCGGAUUUAUUGGGUUUAAAGGGUGCGUAGGCGGUUUUAUAAGUCAGUGGUUAAAGACUCUCGCUCAACGAGAGGGAUGCCAUUGAUACUGUAGAACUUGAGUACUGUAGAGGUAGGCGGAAUUGGUAGUGUAGCGGUGAAAUGCAUAGAUACUACCAGGAACACCGAUUGCGAAGGCAGCUUACUGGAGAGUAACUGACGCUGAGGCACGAAAGCGUGGGGAUCAAACAGGAUUAGAAACCCCCGUAGUCC